UAUCCCCUGCCGGGUGCGUGAUGAGUUCAGAAAGUUCUGAACCAAUGCCGUUUAAUCGGGAGCAUGUGUUGGUUGAUACGGGUAUAUUCUGACGUAUUCAGAAAACCUGAAGGCAAUCCACAGUGCACCCACCUGUAUUAUGCAGGUUCAAGAUUUCAACUCACACGGCCAUGGCGGGGGGUGU
rnacentral:other from 1 species